rnacentral:misc_RNA from 1 species
AAAUGCGAUAAUUAAUGUGAAUUGCAGAAUUCAGUGAAUCAUCGAGUCUUUGAACGCACAUUGCGCCCCCUGGUAUUCCGGGGGGCAUGCCUGUCCGAGCGUCAUUGCUGCCCUCAAGCACGGCUUGUGUGUUGGGCUUCCGUCCCUGGCAACGGGGACGGGCCCAAAAGGCAGUGGCGGCACCAUGUCUGGUCCUCGAGCGUAUGGGGCUUUGUCACCCGCUCCCGUAGGUCCAGCUGGCAGCUAGCCUCGCAACCAAUCUUUUUAACCAGGUUGACCUCGGAUCAGGUUGGGAUACCCGCUGAACUUAAGC